UCCCUGGUGGUUUAGUGGUUUGGACUCUGCACUUCCACUGCAGGAGGAACCUGGGUUCGAUCCCUGGUCGGGGAA
rfam:TPA: Bos taurus chromosome 8, whole genome shotgun sequence.